rnacentral:rRNA from 1 species
AUUGAACGCUGGCGGCAUGCUUUACACAUGCAAGUCGAACGGUAACAGGCCGCAAGGUGCUGACGAGUGGCGAACGGGUGAGUAUGCAUCGGAACGUGCCCAGUCGUAGGGGAUAACGCAGCGAAAGUUGCGCUAAUACCGCAUACGAUCUAUGGAUGAAAGCGGGGGACCGUAAGGCCUCGCGCGAUUGGAGCGGCCGAUGUCAGCUUAGGUAGUUGGUGGGGUAAAGGCUCACCAAGCCGACGAUCUGUAGCUGGUCUGAGAGGACGACCAGCCACGCUGGGACUGAGACACGGCCCAGACUCCUACGGGAGGCAGCAGUGGGGAAUUUUGGACAAUGGGCGCAAGCCUGAUCCAGCAAUGCCGCGUGCAGGAAGAAGGCCUUCGGGUUGUAAACUGCUUUUGUACGGAACGAAACGGUCCUGGUUAAUACCCGGGGCUAAUGACGGUACCGUAAGAAUAAGCACCGGCUAACUACGUGCCAGCAGCCGCGGUAA